ACGGGUGAGGAAUACAUCGGAAUCUACUCUGUCGUGGGGGAUAACGUAGGGAAACUUACGCUAAUACCGCAUACGACCUACGGGUGAAAGCAGGGGAUCUUCGGACCUUGCGCGAUUGAAUGAGCCGAUGUCGGAUUAGCUAGUUGGCGGGGUAAAGGCCCACCAAGGCGACGAUCCGUAGCUGGUCUGAGAGGAUGAUCAGCCACACUGGAACUGAGACACGGUCCAGACUCCUACGGGAGGCAGCAGUGGGGAAUAUUGGACAAUGGGCGCAAGCCUGAUCCAGCCAUACCGCGUGGGUGAAGAAGGCCUUCGGGUUGUAAAGCCCUUUUGUUGGGAAAGAAAUCCAGCUGGCUAAUACCCGGUUGGGAUGACGGUACCCAAAGAAUAAGCACCGGCUAACUUCGUGCCAGCAGCCGCGGUAAUACGAAGGGUGCAAGCGUUACUCGGAAUUACUGGGCGUAAAGCGUGCGUAGGUGGUCGUUUAAGUCCGUUGUGAAAGCCCUGGGCUCAACCUGGGAACUGCAGUGGAUACUGGGCGACUAGAGUGUGGUAGGGGGUAGCGGAAUUCCUGGUGUA
rnacentral:rRNA from 1 species